CCAGACUCCUACGGGAGGCAGCAGUGGGGAAUAUUGGGCAAUGGGCGAAAGCCUGACCCAGCAACGCCGCGUGAGUGAAGAAGUAUUUCGGUAUGUAAAGCUCUAUCAGCAGGGAAGAAAGAAAUGACGGUACCUGACUAAGAAGCCCCGGCUAACUACGUGCCAGCAGCCGCGGUAAUACGUAGGGGGCAAGCGUUAUCCGGAUUUACUGGGUGUAAAGGGGGCGCAGACGGCGAUGCAAGCCAGGAGUGAAAGCCCGGGGCCCAACCCCGGGACUGCUCUUGGAACUGCGUGGCUGGAGUGCAGGAGGGGCAGGCGGAAUUCCUGGUGUAGCGGUGAAAUGCGUAGAUAUCAGGAGGAACACCGGUGGCGAAGGCGGCCUGCUGGACUGCAACUGACGUUGAGGCCCGAAAGCGUGGGGAGCAAACAGGAUUAGAUACCCUAGUAA
rnacentral:rRNA from 1 species